GAUGAAGAACGCAGCGAAAUGCGAUAAGUAAUGUGAAUUGCAGAAUUCAGUGAAUCAUCGAAUCUUUGAACGCACCUUGCGCUCCUUGGUAUUCCGAGGAGCAUGCCUGUUUGAGUGUCAUGAAAUUCUCAACCUUUUCAGCUUUCUUUGUUGAUCAGGCUUGGAUGUGGGAGUAUGCGGGCUUCUCAGAAGUCGGCUCUCCUGAAAUGCAUUAGCGGGACCUUUGUUGCCUGGCUUUGGUGUGAUAAUUAUCUACGCCAUUGUAGUCAAGCAGCUUAAAAUGAGGUUUCAGCCUCUAACCGUCUCCCCUGAGACAACUUUUUGACAAUUUGACCUCAAAUCAGGUAGGACUACCCGCUGAACUUAAGCAUAUCAAUAAGCGGAGGA
rnacentral:misc_RNA from 1 species